GCCAUGUCCACGCCCAGGAUUUGAAUCGACGAAACACUGGGCUGCCUGCAGCGGAGUGCGCAAACUUAACCACUCGGCCAGGGGGCCAGCCCCUAUUGCCUGGUUUCUGAAGAGAGCUGAUGUUAUUCUUAUCCUUGCUCCUCCAUGGAUAAGGCAUUCUUUUCCGCUUGAUUCUUCCCAGUUUUUUCCUUUUUCUUUGAUUUUCUGCAGUUUGAAUAUGAUAUACCUAGGUGUAGAUUUUUUUGGCAUUUAUCCUGCUUGUUGUUCUCUGAGCUUCCUGUAUCUGUGGUUUCCUGUCUGACAUUGAUUUCGGGAAAUUCUCAGUCUUUAUUACUUCAAAUAUUUCUUCUGUUCCUUUCUCUUUCUCUUCCUUCUGGUAUUUCCAUUACAUGUAUGUUAUACCUUUGUAGCUGUCCCACAGAUCUUGGAUAUUCUGUUCUCCUUUUUUUCUUUUUUCUGUCUUUUUUCUCUUUGCUUUUCAGUUUUGGAAGUUUCUAUUGCUGUAUCUCCAGCAUUUCUUUUUGAUUCUUUUAGUUUUCAUCUCUCUGCUUACAUUGCCCAUCUGUUCUUGAAUGUUGUCUGUUUUUUACGUUAGCAUGUUAAUACUUAUUCUCCUGGCAUAUUAAUCUUAAUUAUUUUUAAUUCCUGGUGUGAUAAUUCCGACAUGCCUGCCACAUCUGAGUCUGGUUCUGAUGCCUUUAAAGUGUGUUUUUUGCCUUUUAGUAUCCAUGUAAUGUUGAAAACCAGACAUGAUGUACCUGGUGAGAAGAACAGUGGUAAAUGGGCCUUUAGUGAUGUCGUCGUGAGGUGUCGGGGAGGGGAACGCUCUAUAGUCCUGUAUUAGGACUGAGCGAUGACUUCCAAGCUCUGUACACGCCAGACCAGAAACCAGAAGUUCAAAGCAUUCGAAAUAAAUAGUAAUCUGCUAUCGCUUCGUCCAUUGCCCUGGCUUCGUUACUGUCAAUGAGAGUUAAGCAUAUGCCCGGAUCAGGGAUGUGUUUUCAGACUGUAUGCUGUGUAAUUUAUAUCAUCUUACGUUAAACGUUCUCAGGUAAAUUUAAAGUACUGUAUUUCUGUCUUUGUAAUUUUCAAGUUUUGUUUUUCCUCUACUCCACUCUAUUCAAAAUAGAGGAAGUCGACAAAAAAGGAGGAAUCAAAUGAGCGGAAAGGAGGGGUCAAAUGGGAUCGAGAAAAUUCAUUAAUUCAGCACUUACUGAAUUCCUACUACGUGCAGUGCUCUGAGGAUACAAGAAUGAAUCAAACGAAAGGCC
rnacentral:lncRNA from 1 species